rfam:Flavobacteriia bacterium 40-80 scnpilot_p_inoc_scaffold_183, whole genome shotgun sequence.
UACAUUUGCAACGUCGAAAGUCGGCUACAUAAUAAACAUUAAAUAUAAUUUUAGCAUG